UACGUAGGGACCAAGCGUUGUCCGGAAUCAUUGGGCGUAAAGAGCGUGUAGGCGGCUUGUUAAGUCUGGCGUGAAAUCUCGGGGCUCAACCCCGAGCGGUCGUGAGAAACUGGCAGGCUAGAGUGCGGGAGAGGAGAGUGGAAUUCCUGGUGUAGCGGUGAAAUGCGCAGAUAUCAGGAAGAACACCCGUGGCGAAGGCGGCUCUCUGGAACGCAACUGACGCUGAGACGCGAAAGCGUGGGGAGCAAACAGG
rnacentral:rRNA from 1 species